UCUUCAACACCUAAUACAUUGGUGGGCCGACUCCGGGACCCUUUCGAUGGGAACGUGGCAUAGGUUUUCCUAUAAAUAGAGAUCAAUCUGCACCAGCUUCCUCAUCCUUCUCAAAAUCUGUCUUCGAUACAUAAAUUUUCCUUUGAGCAAAAAUGGGUUCCAAGACACUUCUUUUCUUUUUCAUUUCCAUGGCUGUAGUUCUAAUGAUUACAUCAGAGGUGGCUGCCAAGUCAGUUGACAAUUCCAAGACAGUUGAGACAAAUGAGGAAGGAGAAGCCAAGUACCACGGAGGAGGCUACGGAGGAGGCCACGGAGGAGGCUACGGAGGAGGUCAUGGAGGAGGUUACGGAGGACACCAUUGAGGUGGCUACGGAGGAGGACAUGGAGGGUACGGUGGCGGCCAUGGUGGUUAUGGACAUGGAGGGCAUCAUGGCGGUGGCGGCCAUGGUGGACAUCCUGGUGAGGCUGCAGAUGCUGAGCCUCAGAACUAAUAAAGCCAGCUUCUAGCUAGGUCAUGAUUAAUCAUGAACGCUUAAACAGGCUUACUAUAAUAUUAUGUACUUUGUAAUGUGAAAUUCAAAUAAGUGCUGGAUCAAUGAUCCUGUAAUAUGUACUCCAUGUAAUAUGAGUUUGUGAUUUUGUGUGUCUUUUUUGA